rnacentral:rRNA from 1 species
UGACAAUGGGUUGCAAGCCAGCGAUGGUGAGCUAAUCUCAACAAGCCGUCGUAGUCCGGAUCGCAGUCUGCAACUCGACUGCGUGAAGUCGGAAUCGCUAGUAAUCGUGGAUCAGCACGCCACGGUGAAUACGUUCCCGGGCCUUGUACACACCGCCCGUCACACCAUGGGAGUUGGCUUUACCCGAAGCCGGUGCGCUAACCCGUAAGGGAGGCAGCCGACCACGGUAAGGUCAGCGACUGGGGUGAAGUCGUAACAAGGUAGCCGUAGGGGAACCUGCGGCUGGAUCACCUCCUUU